rnacentral:rRNA from 1 species
AAAGAUUCUACGGAUGAUUUCCUUUGUGACUGAGCGGCGGACGGGUGAGUAACGCGUGGGUAACCUGCCUCAUACAGGGGGAUAACAGUUAGAAAUGACUGCUAAUACCGCAUAAGCGCACAGAGCUGCAUGGCUCGGUGUGAAAAACUCCGGUGGUAUAAGAUGGACCCGCGUUGGAUUAGUUAGUUGGUGAGGUAACGGCCCACCAAGGCGACGAUCCAUAGCCGACCUGAGAGGGUGACCGGCCACAUUGGGACUGAGACACGGCCCAAACUCC